GGGGAUUUAGCUCAGUGGCAAUAAGCACCUGCCUUGCAAGCAGGCGGUCGUGAUUUGGAUCCCCA
rfam:Cavia porcellus supercont2_27 genomic scaffold, whole genome shotgun sequence.